rnacentral:tRNA from 1 species
GGCCUUAUAGUCUAAAAAAGAUUAUAGACUGCAAUUCUAUAGAUAUAUUAAUUAUAACAUAUUAAGGCUU